AUAAUGUCGGGUCGGGUAGGGUCGGGUUUUAGGCAUACCCGAACCUGACCCGACCUCGACCCGAAACCCGAAAUUCAAAAAAAAAAACCCGACCCUAUAGGGUCGGGUCGGGCCAAAACCCGUCGGGGACGGGCUUGAUUGCCGUCCCUAGAAGCAGUAGAGGAAGAAAAUUUACAUAAAGUCACUGACCCACUAUAUUUUCCAAGUUAUGGCUCGUACUAGGCCCAAUCCACUCAAAU
rnacentral:lncRNA from 1 species